CGUUAUGGGCGGAGCCGUGUGUGGGAGCCUUCGGGCUCACCGGCUCUCUCUGUCCGGCACGCCAACCCGCACGGCUCCGUCCACCCAU
rnacentral:antisense_RNA from 1 species